ACUCGAACAGUGAAGAAAGAAAAACUCAGGACCUCAGAUAUGGGUCAAAAUCCUUCCUCAGACUGCUAAGUUGGAGUCAGAAGAGAGUGGCGGUCAUAGAAUGAUUGGUUAAGAUCUUCCAAGUCAGAUGUUGGUGCUAGGACCUCAAUCAAUCCCUUAAGCUGAAUCCUGUAAAAUCAUCAAAAAUAGAAAAGUCAUCACAUUGGGAAGGUUCUUCGAUGAUGGACUCUCCGAUACCUAAGUCAAUAUCCCAC
rnacentral:lncRNA from 1 species